AAAGGCGGCUAUCUCCAAACCAGGCAUAGAGUUUUCACCAGAAACCAACCCUAGCACCUUGAUCUUGGACUUCUAGCCUCCAGAACUUGGGAAAACAUUGCCACCCCCCCAACACACACACAGAACCCCAGACUUAGCUGAUUUGGGAUUUUGCAAUGUAAGAACGAAAAAAGGUGGUCAUGAAGGAAAUAUUUUGCCUUUGAUAAGAUUCUGAUGAUGAAGGAGAUGGCGUAAACCUGGCCCAGGCAACAACCCCGUCAAGUACCUUUGAGAAGAGAUCCCUGAUCUGGCUGCAUCUGACAUUGAUGGUCACUCGUUGUGCCAAUGAGCUCUGGUCAGUGACUAGUACCUCUUAGAAGAUGCCUCCAGAGAGGAAAAUUCCACCCUGAGUGAAUCUCCAUGGAUAUAAACAAGAUGAAAUUAUCUCAAGUCCAGAUGGCAAUGUUCUGUAACUGAAUACUUUUUAUGAAUUCUGUGUAUCAUAACUCAUUAAAACCUUUUAU